rnacentral:rRNA from 1 species
AGAUUAAGUUAUUAAGGGCGCACGGUGGAUGCCUUGGCACUAGAAGCCGAUGAAGGACGUUACUAACGACGAUAUGCUUUGGGGAGCUGUAAGUAAGCUUUGAUCCAGAGAUUUCCGAAUGGGGAAACCCAGCAUGAGUUAUGUCAUGUUAUCGAUAUGUGAAUACAUAGCAUAUCAGAAGGCACACCCGGAGAACUGAAACAUCUUAGUACCCGGAGGAAGAGAAAGAAAAUUCGAUUCCC